AUCAUGGCUCAGGAUGAACGCUAGCUACAGGCUUAACACAUGCAAGUCGAGGGGAAACGAUAUUGGAAGCUUGCUUCCGAUAGGCGUCGACCGGCGCACGGGUGAGUAACGCGUAUCCAACCUGCCCAUCACUUGGGAAUAACCUUGCGAAAGUAAGACUAAUGCCCAAUGACAUUUAUAGAAGGCAUCUGAAAUGAAUUAAAGAUUUAUCGGUGAUGGAUGGGGAUGCGUCUGAUUAGCUUGUUGGCGGGGUAACGGCCCACCAAGGCGACGAUCAGUAGGGGUUCUGAGAGGAAGGUCCCCCACAUUGGAACUGAGACACGGUCCAAACUCCUACGGGAGGCAGCAGUGAGGAAUAUUGGUCAAUGGGCGAGAGCCUGAGCCAGCCAAGUAGCGUGCAGGAAGACGGCCCUAUGGGUUGUAAACUGCUUUUAUAGGGGAAUAAAGUGAGCCACGUGUGGUUUUUUGCAUGUACCCUAUGAAUAAGGACCGGCUAAUUCCGUG
rnacentral:rRNA from 1 species